rnacentral:rRNA from 1 species
CCUACGGGUGGCAGCAGUCGAGAAUCAUUCACAAUGGGGGAAACCCUGAUGGUGCGACGCCGCGUGGGGGAAUGAAGGUCUUCGGAUUGUAAACCCCUGUCAUGUGGGAGCAAAUUAAAAAGAUAGUACCACAAGAGGAAGAGACGGCUAACUCUGUGCCAGCAGCCGCGGUAAUACAGAGGUCUCAAGCGUUGUUCGGAAUCACUGGGCGUAAAGCGUGCGUAGGCUGUUUCGUAAGUCGUGUGUGAAAGGGGCGGGCUCAACCCGCGGAAGGCACAUGAUACUGCGAGACUAGAGUAAUGGAGGGGGAACCGGAAUUCUCGGUGUAGCAGUGAAAUGCGUAGAUAUCGAGAGGAACACUCGGGGCGAAGGCGGGUUCCUGGACAUUAACUGACGCUGAGGCACGAAGGCCAGGGGAGCGAAAGGGAUUAGAUACCCGUGUAGUC